UCCCAGCUUCCCCUUGGCACUGUGGAUAAUGUUUGGAGCUUAUUGGUUUCCACCACCAAGAACUGCAGGAACAAACAUCUGCUAUCUGCCUCCCCUCUCCUUCCUCACUACUACUUAUUUCUAGGAGCAGGCAAAACAUGUCUGUCUUCUCCUGAGGCUGAGCAACAGUUCUUGAGACAUUGUAGCUUAUUAUAAACAGAAACCUUAAUUGUUCAGUAUGCCACCUGUUUGACAGAAGGAAAUGAGGAACAAUUACUGGCUGUGGAUUUCACAUGGAGCUGGAAAAGACAAUGAAAAAUUAAGCAAGUUAUGUUUUAUACAGGAAAAUGAAAAUAAACCAUUUAUGAGCACCAGAA